rnacentral:pre_miRNA from 1 species
GAAAGAUUGUUUAUAAGAGUAUUAUAAGUCACUACAUUUGGUAAAACCAAGUGUUGCUUUCCCAAACGAAGUGACUUAUAAUACUCUUAUGAAUAGAUUUUGCA